rnacentral:lncRNA from 1 species
AUGAGGACACAGGGGGACGUGGCCACUGGGGCAUGGCCAACAUGGGGACACAGGGCGAUGGUGACAGCAGGGACAGAGGGACGUGGCCACCACAGGGAUCUGGGGCCAUUAGGUUGUGGGGACACGGCCACCAUGGGGACCCAAGGGGAUGGUGACACGGGGGGGACAUGGCCACCAUGGGAAUGCUGGGAGAUGGGGACAUGGGGACCAGGGGAUGGGGAUUUGGGGACAUGGGGACCAUGGGGACCCGGGGGACAUGAGGACAUGGCUGACAUGGGGACACGGCCACCGUGGGGUCAUCAUGACCCCUGGGAAUGCGGCUACUGCGGGGACACGGCCACCACGGGGGACACGCCAAGGACACGCCAACGCUACUGCGGGGGACACGCAAGAACAUGGACUGGGACACGCCAACGCUGCCGCGGGGGACAUGCAAGGACGGGGCUGCGGCCACCAGCAUCCUGGGGACACGGCCACCACCAUGGCGGGCCAUGGAAGGACAUGGCUAGGGACACGCCAUGGCCACCGUGGGGACAUGGAUGGGGACACGCCUUGGACACGCCACAGCCAGCAUGGGGACAUGCAUGGACAUGGAUAGGGACAUGCCACAGCCAUUGCAUGGACAUGCCACAGCCAGCAUGGGGACACGCAUGGACAUGGAUAGGGACACGCCUGGGACAUGCUACAGCCACUGCAGGAAUGCGCCUGAGACACGCCAAAACCAGCAUGGGGACACGCAUGGACGUGGAUAGGGACACGCCACAGCCAGCAUGGGGACGUGCAUGGACAUGGAUAAGGACACGCCUGGGACACGCCACAGCCAGCAUGGGAACACACAUGGACACGGAUAGGGACACGCCUGGGACAUGCCACAGCCAGCAUGGGGACAUGCUAGGGGCAAGGGUGGUGACAUAGCGAGGACACACCAGGGACACGGAUCCACACGUGUGCUCCAAGCGUGGCUCAGCAGAGCCUGGAUGCCUGGAGCAGCCUGUGGGGAAGCGGGGAGGGGACACGUGGCCUCAGGGACCCAGGCGUCCGGGCGAGGGAAGGGCGGAAGCGCUGGAGGGACCCAGGCGUCCGGGCCUGGAACAGCCCCUCCCACCAAUAAAAGUCACCAGCUGGGUUUUUAGCUCGUCUGU